UACAGAGGUGGCAAGCGUUGUUCGGAAUUACUGGGCGUAAAGGGCGAGUAGGCGGCCAACUAAGUCAGACGUGAAAUCCCCCGGCUUAACCUGGGAACUGCGUCUGAUACUGGAUGGCUAGAGUUUGGGAGAGGGAUGCAGAAUUCCAGGUGUAGCGGUGAAAUGCGUAGAUAUCUGGAGGAAUACCGGUGGCGAAGGCGGCAUCCUGGACCAACACUGACGCUGAGACGCGAAAGCUAGGGGAGCAAACGGG
rnacentral:rRNA from 1 species